rnacentral:lncRNA from 1 species
GAAAGUUCUAUGGUUUUUGUUGUUGUUUUUUAAACUAAGAGAUGACAAACCAUAUGCUCCAUGUAGUUCCAAAAAAGCUUCAGAAACAGAGCUUCUAAGGUUGCUGUCCACAUUAAUGAAGAACACGUUGAAACCUUUCAUGAAGAUCUCAUUUUUACACUGGACACAUUGGCUUCACCAAAUUUACCCAAGAUAGGUGAUGACCUAAAGAUCUACCAAGUGACUCGCUGACAUAUCACUUAGAAGGUCUGGCCUAUUACAACAAGUGGGACAAAGGUAACCCUGCAAAAUAGGUGUUUUUGCUUAAAAAAAAAAAAAAAAAACAUUUAUAUCUCUAAACUUGAUUUCAGUCAUUUAGUAUGUUUUCAUUUGGAUUUGAACAAAUAAGGUUUUUGUUCACUGUAUUGGUUAAGUUAUAUUAGGUUGUUCAGUGCUGUAUAGCGUUUACUUUUUGACAUAACAAAGAAAAUU